CAGCAGCCGCGGUAAUACCGGCGGCCCGAGUGGCGGUCACUCUUAUUGGGCUUAAAGCGUCCGUAGCCGGGUUGGGAAGUCCUCCGGGAAAUCUGGCCGCUUAAAGGUCAGAAUGCCGGAGGAUACUCCCAGCCUAGGGAGCGGGAGAGGCCGAGGGGAUUCCCGGGGUAGGGGGGAAAUCCUAUAAUCCCGGGAGGACCACCUGUGGCGAAGGCGCUCGGCUGGAACGCGUCCGACGGUGAGGGACGAAGGCCAGGGGAGCAAACCGGAUUAGAUACCCGGGUAGUCCUGGCUGUAAACGAUGCGGACUUUGUGUCGGACAAGCUAUGAGCUUGUCCGGUGCCGGAGGGAAACCGUUAAGUCCGCCGCCUGGGGAGUACGGCCGCAAGGCUGAAACUUAAAGGAAUUGGCGGG
rnacentral:rRNA from 1 species